AGUGAACGCUGGCGGUAGGCCUAACACAUGCAAGUCGAACGGCAGCACAGGAGAGCUUGCUCUCUGGGUGGCGAGUGGCGGACGGGUGAGGAAUACAUCGGAAUCUGCCCAGUCGUGGGGGAUAACGUAGGGAAACUUACGCUAAUACCGCAUACGACCUUCGGGUGAAAGAGGGGGAUCGCAAGACCUCUCGCGAUUGGAUGAGCCGAUGUCGGAUUAGCUAGUUGGCGGGGUAAUGGCCCACCAAGGCGACGAUCCGUAGCUGGUCUGAGAGGAUGAUCAGCCCCACUGGAACUGAGACACGGUCCAGACUCCUACGGGAGGCAGCAGUGGGGAAUAUUGGACAAUGGGCGCAAGCCUGAUCCAGCCAUACCGCGUGGGUGAAGAAGGCCUUCGGGUUGUAAAGCCCUUUUGUUGGGAAAGAAAUCUUUCAGGCUAAUACCCUGGGAGGAUGACGGUACCCAAAGAAUAAGCACCGGCUAACUUCGUG
rnacentral:rRNA from 1 species